GUCAGUAUGGCCGAGUGGUUAAGGCGCUAGACUGUAUAUCUAGUUCUUUCGAGAUCGUAGGUUCGAACCCUACUGCUGACG
rnacentral:tRNA from 1 species